rnacentral:rRNA from 1 species
CGUUAGCAGCGGACGGGUGAGUAACACGUGGGUAACCUACCUAUAAGACUGGGAUAACUCCGGGAAACCGGGGCUAAUACCGGAUAACACAUGAAACCGCAUGGUUUCAUGAUGAAAGACGGUUUUGCUGUCACUUAUAGAUGGACCCGCGGCGUAUUAGCUAGUUGGUAAGGUAACGGCUUACCAAGGCAACGAUACGUAGCCGACCUGAGAGGGUGAUCGGCCACACUGGAACUGAGACACGGUCCAG